AAAAUACAGUGUGAAUGCUGAAAACUGAAGCGAAAUCUGCUGAACGUACUGCCUGAAAUGCAUAAAACUAUAGGCUGAAUGGUUGGGAUUUUGUAGAAAAAGCAGAAUUUUCCAAUAGCUGGUAAGGCAGAAAGGCUUAAAAGCAAUAGGUUUAAUGGGCUAACAAAGUUGAACAUUUUGAUAGCUGAACAUUAACUCUAACUGAACAUGAAGUUGUAUGUUUGAAGGAGUUGAAAAGGCAGAAACAUAAAUAUCUAAAAAGGUUAAAAAGCUAUAGAGUAACAGGGCUGAAAGAGCUUAAAAGGUGAAAGAAGGCAAAAAAGGUGAAAAGUUGAAGGCUGACGAGGACCAAAAAAGUUUAAAAAGGUGAGAAAAUAUGAAUAGUUGUAGAGUAAGAGGGCUGGAAGAGGUUAAAGUGGUGAUAACAUAUGAAAAGCUGUAGAGUAAGAGGGCUGGCAGAGGUUAAAAAGGUGAAAAAAGGAUGAAAAGGUAAAAAAGUUUAAGGGUGAAAGAGCUCAAAUACUUGAGAAAGGAUGAAAAGGUAAAAAGAUGUAGAGUAAGAGGGUUGGAAGAGGUUAAAAAGGUGAAAAAAGGAUGAAAAGGUAAAAAGUUUAAGGGUGAAAGAGCUCAAAUAGGUGAGAAAAGGAUGAAAAGGUGAAAAGAUGUAGAGUAAGAGGGUGGAAGAGGUUAAAAAGGUGAAAAGAAUAUGAAAAUCUGUAGAUUAAGAGGGCUGGGAGAGGUUAAAAAGGUGAAUAAAGGAUGACAAGCAGUAGAUUAAGAGGCCUGGAAGAGGUUAAAAGGUGAAAAUAUAUGAACAGCUGUAGAGUCAGAGGGCUGGAAGAGGUUAAAAAGGUGAACAAAGGAUGAAAAGCUGCUGAGUAAGAGGGUUGGAAGAGGUUAAAAGGUGAAAAUAGGAUGAAAAGGUAAAAGAUGUAGAGUAAGAGGGCUGGAAGAAGUUAAAAUGGUGAAAAAAGACCUUCUUACUCUACAACUUUUCCUACUCUUUCACCUUCUUAAGCUCUUCAAUCCCUUCUUACUCUACAACUUUUCAUGUUUUCACCCUUUUAACCUCCUCCAGCCCUCUUACUCUACUGCUUGUCAUCCUUUUUAG
rnacentral:lncRNA from 1 species